rnacentral:rRNA from 1 species
AAUAUUGCACAAUGGAGGAAACUCUGAUGCAGCGACGCCGCGUGAGCGAGGAAGGUCUUUGGAUCGUAAAGCUCUUUCGGCAGGGAAGAAACGCCCGGUGGCGAAUACCCAUCGGGUUUGACGGUACCUGCAGAAGAAGCACCGGAUAACUCUGUGCCUGCAGCCGCGGCAAUAAAGAGGGUGCAAGCGUUGUGCGGAAUUACUGGACGUAAAGCGUGCGUAGGCGGUCUAUUAAGUCUCAUUUGAAAGCCCAUGGCUUAACCAUGGAGGGUGAUGGGCGACUGAUGGACUUGAGUACAGGAGAGGAAGGUGGAAUUCCACGUGUAGCGGUGAAAUGCGUAGAGAUGUGGAGGAACACCAGUGGCGAAGGCGGCCUUCUGGCCUGUGUCUGACGCUAAGGCACGAAAGCGUGGGUAGCAAACAGG